CGGGAGGCAGCAGUGGGGAAUAUUGGACAAUGGGGGCAACCCUGAUCCAGCCAUGCCGCGUGUGUGAAGAAGGCCUUUUGGUUGUAAAGCACUUUAAGCAGGGAGGAGAGGCUAAUGGUUAAUACCCAUUAGAUUAGACGUUACCUGCAGAAUAAGCACCGGCUAACUCUGUGCCAGCAGCCGCGGUAAUACAGAGGGUGCGAGCGUUAAUCGGAAUUACUGGGCGUAAAGCGAGUGUAGGUGGCUCAUUAAGUCACAUGUGAAAUCCCCGGGCUUAACCUGGGAACUGCAUGUGAUACUGGUGGUGCUAGAAUAUGUGAGAGGGAAGUAGAAUUCCAGGUGUAGCGGUGAAAUGCGUAGAGAUCUGGAGGAAUACCGAUGGCGAAGGCAGCUUCCUGGCAUAAUAUUGACACUGAGAUUCGAAAGCGUGGGUAGCAAACAGGAUUAGAUACCCUGGUAGUCCACGCCGUAAACGAUGUCUACUAGCCGUUGGGGUCCUUGAGACUUUAGUGGCGCAGUUAACGCGAUAAGUAGACCGCCUGGGGAGUACGGCCGCAAGGUUAAAACUCAAAUGAAUUGACGGGGGCCCGCACAAGCGGUGGAGCAUGUGGUUUAAUUCGAUGCAACGCGAAGAACCUUACCUGGUCUUGACAUAGUGAGAAUCCUGCAGAGAUGCGGGAGUGCCUUCGGGAAUUCACAUACAGGUGCUGCAUGGCUGUCGUCAGCUCGUGUCGUGAGAUGUUGGGUUAAGCCCCGCAACGAGCGCAACCCUCGUUCUAUGUUGCCAGCACGUGAUGGUGGGGACUCAUAGGAGACUGCCGGGGUCAACUCGGAGGAAGGUGGGGAUGACGUCAAAUCAUCAUGCCCCUUAUGUCUUGGGCUUCACGCAUGCUACAAUGGCCGGUACAGAGGGCUGCCAACCCGCGAGGGGGAGCCAAUCCCGUAAAACCGGUCGUAGUCCGGAUUGCAGUCUGCAACUCGACUGCAUGAAGUCGGAAUCGCUAGUAAUCGUGGAUCAGAAUGCCACGGUGAAUACGUUCCCGGGCCUUGUACACACCGCCCGUCACA
rnacentral:rRNA from 1 species